rnacentral:rRNA from 1 species
UACGUAGGUGGCAAGCGUUGUCCGGAUUUAUUGGGUUUAAAGGGUGCGUAGGCGGCCCUGUAAGUCAGUGCUGAAAUACCCCGGCUUAACCGGGGGGGUGGCAUUGGAUACUGCAGGGCUUGAGUAAAGUCGAGGUAGGCGGAAUUGACGGUGUAGCGGUGAAAUGCUUAGAUAUCGUCAAGAACACCGAUAGUGUAGACAGCUUACUAGGCUUAACUGACGCUGAGGCACGAAAGUGUGGGGAUCAAACAGGAUUAG